rnacentral:rRNA from 1 species
CCUACGGGAGGCAGCAGUGGGGAAUAUUGCGCAAUGGGCGAAAGCCUGACGCAGCGACGCCGCGUGAAGGAAGAAGGCUUUCGGGUUGUAAACUUCUUUUAAGGGGGAAGAGCAGAAGACGGUACCCCUUGAAUAAGCCACGGCUAACUACGUGCCAGCAGCCGCGGUAAUACGUAGGUGGCAAGCGUUGUCCGGAUUUACUGGGUGUAAAGGGCGUGCAGCCGGAGAGACAAGUCAGAUGUGAAAUCCACGGGCUCAACCCGUGAACUGCAUUUGAAACUGUUUCCCUUGAGUGUCGGAGAGGUAAUCGGAAUUCCUUGUGUAGCGGUGAAAUGCGUAGAUAUAAGGAAGAACACCAGUGGCGAAGGCGGAUUACUGGACGAUAACUGACGGUGAGGCGCGAAAGCGUGGGGAGCAAACAGGAUUAGAUACCCCUGUAGUC